UACGUAGGGGGCAAGCGUUGUCCGGAUUUAUUGGGCGUAAAGAGCGUGUAGGCGGCCAUGUAGGUCCGUUGUGAAAACUCGAGGCUCAACCUCGAGACGCCGAUGGAAACCAUGUGGCUAGAGUCCGGAAGAGGAGAGUGGAAUUCCUGGUGUAGCGGUGAAAUGCGCAGAUAUCAGGAAGAACACCCGUGGCGAAAGCGGCUCUCUGGGACGGUACUGACGCUGAGACGCGAAAGCGUGGGGAGCAAACAGG
rnacentral:rRNA from 1 species